GGGCAUUGUGAAACAUUAUCUUUGGCGCAUCAGAGGCAAAGAAAUAGGAUAGAUGGGGGUGGCCUUUGGAUGACCUAUAUUCGUACUUGUUUCACAUGAUUAUUGUCCUGCUGAAUCCAAUGUUGAAGGUUGUAAGUCGCUGUUAGAGCUUGCUAGAAACGCAUACGAUGUAAAUGUGAUUAACUGCCAUAUAUUGUUUGGGAAUUGGUCACAUGAUUAUUCUUUUGCAAGUUGAGAUAAAGAGCAUCCAAGCGUACUUAUGCUUAUAUUAUUACUCAUUGCAAAGUCAUUUUUUGUUUCAUAUUAGGGGCAUUUCAAAGUAAAUAUUUCACACGAUAAUAUUUUAUACUUAUAGAUGAAAUUUGUUUUCCCCGUAGCAAU
rnacentral:lncRNA from 1 species